rnacentral:rRNA from 1 species
UACGGGGGGGGCAAGCGUUGUUCGGAAUUACUGGGCGUAAAGGGCUCGUAGGCGGCCAACUAAGUCGGAUGUGAAAUCCCCAGGCUUAACCUGGGAACUGCAUCCGAUACUGGAUGGCUUGAAUCCGGGAGAGGGAUGCAGAAUUCCAGGUGUAGCGGUGAAAUGCGUAGAUAUCAGGAGGAACACCGGUGGCGAAGGCGAGUCCCUGGACAAUUCCUGACACUGAGGCACGAAAGCCAAGGGAGCAAACAGG